GGAUCAUUACUGAGUGAGCGCCUCCGGGCGCGACCUCCAACCCCAUUGUUAUCCGACCACGUUGCCUCGGGGGUGACCCGGCCUUUUGGGCUGCGGGCCCCCGGUGGACCCCAAUCAAACACUGCAUCUUUGCGUCUGAGUACAUAUUGAAUCAAUCAAAACUUUCAACAACGGAUCUCUUGGUUCUGGCAUCGAUGAAGAACGCAGCGAAAUGCGAUAAGUAAUGUGAAUUGCAGAAUUCAGUGAAUCAUCGAAUCUUUGAACGCACAUUGCGCCCCCUGGCAUUCCGGGGGGCAUGCCUGUUCGAGCGUCAUUACACCACUCAAGCCUGGCUUGGUAUUGGGUGCCGCGGGAGACCGCGCGCCUUAAAGUCACCGGCUGGACCGUCUGUCUCCAAGCGUUGUGGCAACUAUCCGCUGACGAGACCCCGGGCGACCCGGCCGUUAAACUUCUAUCAAAGGUUGACCUCGGAUCAGGUAGGGAUACCCGCUGAACUUAAGCAUAUCAAUAAGCGGAGGAAAAGAAACCAACAGGGAUUGCCCUAGUAACGGCGAGUGAAGCGGCAACAGCUCAAAUUUGAAAUCUGGCGCAAGCCCGAGUUGUAAUUUGUAGAGGAUGCUUCUGGGCAGCGGCCGGUCUAAGUCCCUUGGAACAGGGCGUCAUAGAGGGUGAGAAUCCCGUAUGCGACCGGCUGGCACCCGUCACGUAGCUCCUUCGACGAGUCGAGUUGUUUGGGAAUGCAGCUCUAAAUGGGAGGUAAAUUCCUUCUAAAGCUAAAUACCGGCCAGAGACCGAUAGCGCACAAGUAGAGUGAU
rnacentral:rRNA from 1 species